rnacentral:rRNA from 1 species
CCUACGGGAGGCAGCAGUAGGGAAUCUUCCACAAUGGGCGAAAGCCUGAUGGAGCAACGCCGCGUGGGUGAAGAAGGUCUUCGGAUCGUAAAACCCUGUUGUUAGAGAAGAAAGUGCGUGAGAGUAACUGUUCACGUUUCGACGGUAUCUAACCAGAAAGCCACGGCUAACUACGUCCCAGCAGCCGCGGUAAUACGUAGGUGGCAAGCGUUAUCCGGAUUUAUUGGGCGUAAAGGGAACGCAGGCGGUCUUUUAAGUCUGAUGUGAAAGCCUUCGGCUUAACCGGAGUAGUGCAUUGGAAACUGGGAGACUUGAGUGCAGAAGAGGAGAGUGGAACUCGAUGUGUAGCGGUGAAAUGCGUAGAUAUAUGGAAGAACACCAGUGGCGAAAGCGGCUCUCUGGUCUGUAACUGACGCUGAGGUUCGAAAGCGUGGGUAGCAAACAGGAUUAGAUACCCGUGUAGUC